UUGAACGCUGGCGGAAUGCUUUACACAUGCAAGUCGAGCGGCAGCGCGGGCAACCUGGCGGCGAGCGGCGAACGGGUGAGUAAUACAUCGGAACGUGCCCAGACGUGGGGGAUAACUACUCGAAAGAGUGGCUAAUACCGGCAUACGAUCUAAGGAUGAAAGCGGGGGAUCGCAAGACCUCGCGCGUUUGGAGCGGCCGAUGGCAGAUUAGGUAGUUGGUGGGGUAAAGGCUUACCAAGCCCGCGAUCUGUAGCUGGUCUGAGAGGAUGAUCAGCCACACUGGGACUGAGACACGGCCCAGACUCCUACGGGAGGCAGCAGUGGGGAAUUUUGGACAAUGGGCGAAAGCCUGAUCCAGCCAUUCCGCGUGCAGGAUGAAAGGCCCUCGGGUUGUAAAACUGCUUUUGUACAGAACGAAAAAGCUCUUUCUAAUACAGAGAGUCCAUGACGGUACUGUAAGAAUAAGCACCGGCUAACUACGUG
rnacentral:rRNA from 1 species